GUGCCAGCCGCCGCGGUAAGACGAACCGUGCGAACGUUAUUCGGAAUCACUGGGCUUAAAGCGCGUGUAGGCGGGCCGCCACGUCGGGCGCUGAAAUCCCCCGGCUCAACCGGGGAACGGGCACCGAUACGAGCGGCCUGGAGGGGAGUAGGGGGACCUGGAACUUCCGGUGGAGCGGUGAAAUGCGUUGAGAUCGGAAGGAACGCCCGUGGCGAAAGCGAGGUCCUGGGCUCCUGCUGACGCUGAGACGCGAAAGCCAGGGGAGCGAACGGGAUUAGAUACCCUCGUAGUCC
rnacentral:rRNA from 1 species